UUGUGAGGAUUUGAUGAACAUUCAUGUCGGUUGUUUCACCACCUUGGGUAAAGGGAGAUACCCCGAUAAAGAGGCUUGUCACAAAAAUGUUCUUCUGAUUUCUGUGUUUUUUUUUCUUAAUUGAUCUACUGUAUUAAAGCACCGUUUUUCAAUAGAAAACUGAAAUUGAGACUUUACGAAAUUGAGACUUUAUUAAAGAGGC
rnacentral:lncRNA from 1 species